UUAAAUUUAGAAGUUCGCUUUCAUAUUUUUUUAUCUUAUACACAUAUAUUUUUUUAUCUUGUUGUGUAUUAAUACAUUAAAAGCUAUGCAUUCAUAUAUUUUGUACCUUAAAUGUAUGAUAGCUAAAUUUUAUUAUGUGUUUAAAAGAUUAUAGCAAAAUAUUUUGUUUUAUACAUAUUUGCAUUUGGUGGUAAAAUAUUUAGCACAGCAUACUUAGUGAUUUUAGAGGUGGUAAAAUAAUUUACCACUGCGUCAUCAAACCACAGUUUUACUAAAAUGUUUCAUUUUAGAAAUAGCACUUUGUUCGGCAAGGUACUUGAUUUAUUUGUACAUAUAUUUAUCUUAAUACAUUUUUAUAUACAUUUCAAUUAUUAUUAUUUCUAAUAUUAAUUAUUUUUAAUAUAAUGGAAAAUAUUUUACAUUUAUUUAGGCUUAUAUAAAUAUUUAUAUAUUUAGAAAUUAGAAUUAAAAUGUUACAUUAGCUAGAAUGCUAUAAAGGUAAUAUUUUGGUCAGUAUGUUCAAGUGAUUUCAAAUUUUAAGUAACUAAUUAAAUGUAAUGAAACAUUAGUUUAGGUAAACCCAUUGGAAAAAAAGACAAGAUUAACCACCAAUGAUGCUGUAGAGCUUUAUUUUGCACUACCUUAUUUCGAAAAUGAAGGCAACACAAAAGAGGAUUUACAAAAUUCAGAUUCCACAAACAUAUUUGAAGUCAACAAUAAUACAGUGGGUGAUCCCAAUUUCUUACCCCCAAACGGUGAAUCUGAUUGAAGAUGAUUUUUGAAAUGCAAGCAUUUAUCGUAUGAGUAAUAAUAAUAAGUCAGGUCAAUAACAUGUUUUUGAAAAAUGUAAAAAA
rnacentral:lncRNA from 1 species